UACGGAGGGUGCAAACGUUGCUCGGAAUCAUUGGGCGUAAAGGGCGCGUAGGUGGUUCUGUAUGUCUACCGUGAAAGCGUACGGCUCAACCGUAUUUUGUCGGUGGAAACUGCAGGACUUGAGGCUGGGAGGGGCUGGUGGAAUUCCCUGUGUAGCGGUGGAAUGCGUAGAGAUGGGGGAGAACACUCGUGGCGAAGGCGGCCAGCUAGACCAGUUCUGACACUGAGGCGCGACAGCGUGGGGAGCAAACAGG
rnacentral:rRNA from 1 species